GUGUCAUUUUACCGUCGCACCGUCUAUCUAUAACACGCGUCAACAAUUAAAAGACGAUUUAGAAGCACAUUUCCUUGGUAAAUGCUUGUACGUUUGAUAGUUGUCAAGUUGGACUGAUGGGUCCUCAAAAGCACGAGUGCUCUGCACAGUCAUUGGCAAAGAGGCUGAAGCGGAUACUUUUAUAUAUUUUUACAUUAUUGUGAUCCUUUUAUUGUUAAAUGUUGUCAUAAUAUGUUAUUUACCAAAAAAAUUAACUUGAUAUCUAAUAUUGUUUUCCAUUUCUUUACCAUUUUUAUCCCAGAGGUACUGGUUUAUGUUUGUGGUUUUUUUGGAUACUUUUAUUACAUUAUUUUUACAUGAUUGUGAUCCUAUUAUUGUUACAUGUUAUCAUACUAUGUUAUUUACCAAGAAAGUAACUUGAUAUCUAGUAUUGUUUAUCAUUUCUUCAGCAAAUUUAUUCCAGAGGUACUGGUUUAUGUUAUAAUUUUUAUGGAUGCUUUUAUAUAUUUUUACAUUAUUGUGAUCCUAUUAUUAGCAAAUGCAUUCGAGAGGUACUAGUACUUGUUUAUGUUCAGUUGUCAUUUUUAUGCCCGCGGAUCGAAUGAUCGGGGCAUAUUGUUUUUGGCCUGUCUGCCUAUCUGUCAUUCUGUCCCAAAACUUACACCUUAGUUAAAGUUUUGUGAUAACUUUUGCAAUAUUUAAGAUAGAAACUUGGAGCUGCACAUUUUGAGUGAUCGAAAGGUCAAGGUCAUCGUUCAAGGUCAAAGGUUAAAAAUAACAAAUCCACAGGAAGUAAUAAGCUUUAAAGGGAGAAAGGUAUCUUGAGUUUAUCAAUAAAUUGCUUGUUUUGAG